GCUCAGUAACACGUGGCUAACCUGCCCUUAGGACGGGGACAACCCCGGGAAACUGGGGCUAAUACCCGAUAGGUGAGGAGGCCUGGAAUGGUUCCUAACUCAAAGGGCGUUGAGACCACGCUUUUCAGCGUCGCCUAGGGAUGGGGCCGCGCCCGAUCAGGUUGUUGGUGGGGUAACGGCUCACCAAGCCUAUAACCGGUACGGGCCGUGAGAGCGGGAGCCCGGAGAUGGGCACUGAGACAAGGGCCCAGGCCCUACGGGGCGCAGCAGUCGCGAAAACUCCGCAAUGCGCGAAAGCGUGACGGGGCUACCCCGAGUGCCGUCCGCUGAGGAAGGCUUUUCCCCGGUGUAAUGAGCCGGGGGAAUAAGGAGAGGGCAAGUCUGGUGUCAGCCGCCGCGGUAAUACCAGCUCUCCGAGUAGUAGGGACGAUUAUUGGGCUUAAAGCGUUCGUAGCCGGCUUAGCAAGUCUCCUGUUAAAUUCAGCGACCUAAUCGUUGAGCCGCGGGAGAUACUACUAGGCCUGGAGGCGGGAGAGGCCGACGGUAUUCUCGGGGUAGGGGUGAAAUCCUAUAAUCCCGGGAGGACCACCGGUGGUGAAGGCUGUCGGCUAGAACGCGCUCGACGGUGAGGGACGAAAGCUGGGGGAGCGAACCGGAUUAGAUACCCGGGUAGUCCCAGCUGUAAACGAUG
rnacentral:rRNA from 1 species